rnacentral:rRNA from 1 species
CCUCAAAGAGGGGGACAACAGUUGGAAACGACUGCUAAUACCGCAUAAGCCCACGGGUCGGCAUCGACCAGAGGGAAAAGGAGCAAUCCGCUUUGAGAUGGCCUCGCGUCCGAUUAGCUAGUUGGUGAGGUAAUGGCCCACCAAGGCAACGAUCGGUAGCCGGACUGAGAGGUUGAACGGCCACAUUGGGACUGAGACACGGCCCAGACUCCUACGGGAGGCAGCAGUGGGGAAUAUUGCACAAUGGGGGAAACCCUGAUGCAGCGACGCCGCGUGGAGGAAGAAGGUCUUCGGAUUGUAAACUCCUGUUGUUGAGGAAGAUAAUGACGGUACUCAACAAGGAAGUGACGGCUAACUACGUGCCAGCAGCCGCGGUAAAACGUAGGUCACAAGCGUUGUCCGGAAUUACUGGGUGUAAAGGGAGCGCAGGCGGGAAGACAAGUUGGAAGUGAAAUCCAUGGGCUCAACCCAUGAACUGCUUUCAAAACUGUUUUUCUUGAGUAGUGCAGAGGUAGGCGGAAUUCCCGGUGUAGCGGUGGAAUGCGUAGAUAUCGGGAGGAACACCAGUGGCGAAGGCGGCCUACUGGGCACCAACUGACGCUGAGGCUCGAAAGUGUGGGUAGCAAACAGGAUUAGAUACCCUGGUAGUCCACACCGUAAACGCUGAAAAGGAGGUGUUGGAGGAUUGACCCCUUCAGUG